rnacentral:rRNA from 1 species
UUACGGGGGGAAAAAUUUAUUGCUAUUAGAUGAGCCUAUAUUAGAUUAGCUAGUUGGUGGGGUAAUAGCCUACCAAGGCAAUGAUCUAUAGCUGAUCUGAGAGGAUGAUCAGCCACACUGGAACUGAGAUACGGUCCAGACUCCUACGGGAGGCAGCAGUGGGGAAUAUUGGACAAUGGGCGAAAGCCUGAUCCAGCCAUGCCGCAUGAGUGAAGAAGGCCUUUGGGUUGUAAAGCUCUUUUAGUGAGGAAGAUAAUGACGGUACUCACAGAAGAAGUCCUGGCUAACUCCGUGCCAGCAGCCGCGGUAAUACGGAGAGGGCUAGCGUUAUUCGGAAUUAUUGGGCGUAAAGGGCGCGUAGGCUGGUUAAUAAGUUAAAAGUGAAAUCCCGAGGCUUAACCUUGGAAUUGCUUUUAAAACUAUUAAUCUAGAGAUUGAAAGAGGAUAGAGGAAUUCCUGAUGUAGAGGUAAAAUUCGUAAAUAUUAGGAGGAACACCGAGUGGCGAAGGCGUCUAUCUGGUUCAAAUCUGACGCUGAAGCGCGAAGGCGUGGGUAGCAAACAGGUAUUAAGAUACCCCUGGGAAGUCCACGCUGUAAACGAGAAGUAAAUG